rfam:Leptolyngbya sp. Heron Island J, whole genome shotgun sequence.
GCCCCUGUGAUGCAACUGGUAGACAUGGUCCGCUUAAAACGGAUUUGUUACAGGUUCGACUCCUGUCAGGGGUA